rnacentral:rRNA from 1 species
AGUAACGCGUGGGUAACCUGCCUCGUACAGGGGGAUAACAGUUAGAAAUGACUGCUAAUACCGCAUGAGCGCACAGUGCUGCAUGGCACAGUGUGAAAAACUCCGGUGGUAUGAGAUGGACCCGCGUCUGAUUAGCUAGUUGGUGGGGUAACGGCCUACCAAGGCGACGAUCAGUAGCCGGCCUGAGAGGGUGAACGGCCACAUUGGGACUGAGGCACGGCCCAA